ensembl:lncRNA
AAGGCCCCCCUCCCCCCGCCCCCGCACGGUCCCAGAGUGAGGGAGACGCUGGUAGCAGGGCCUCGGGGAGCUCGGAGACAGGGCGGCAGUGGCUCAGGCUUUAGCUCCGGCGCACACCUGUCCCUCCGCCCACAUCCAAGUUGCAUACCUGUCCCUCAGCCCACGUCCACGGUGCACAACUGUCCCUCAGCCCACGUCCAAGUUGCACACCUGUCCCUCAGCCCACGUCCACGGUGCACACCUGUCCCUCAGCCCACAUCCACGGUGCACACCUGUCCCUCAGCCCACGUCCAAGUUGCACACCUGUCCCUCAGCCCACGUCCACGGUGCACACCUGUCCCUCAGCCCACAUCCACGGUGCACACCUGUCCCUCAGCCCACGUCCAAGUUGCACACCUGUCCCUCAGCCCACGUCCACGGUGCACACCUGUCCCUCAGCCCACAUCCACGGUGCACACCUGUCCCUCAGCCCACGUCCAAGUUGCACACCUGUCCCUCAGCCCACGUCCACGGUGCACACCUGUCCCUCAGCCCACAUCCACGGUGCACACCUGUCCCUCAGCCCACGUCCAAGUUGCACACCUGUCCCUCAGCCCACGUCCACGGUGCACACCUGUCCCUCAGCCCACAUCCACGGUGCACACCUGUCCCUCAGCCCACGUCCAAGUUGCACACCUGUCCCUCAGCCCACGUCCACGGUGCACACCUGUCCCUCAGCCCACAUCCACGGUGCACACCUGUCCCUCAGCCCACGUCCAAGUUGCACACCUGUCCCUCAGCCCACGUCCACGGUGCACACCUGUCCCUCAGCCCACAUCCACGGUGCACACCUGUCCCUCAGCCCACGUCCAAGUUGCACACCUGUCCCUCAGCCCACGUCCACGGUGCACACCUGUCCCUCAGCCCACAUCCACGGUGCACACCUGUCCCUCAGCCCACGUCCACGGUGAACACCUGUCCCUCAGCCCACGUCCAUGGCCUGCACCUGUCCCUCAGCCCACAUCCAUGGCCUGCACCUGUCCUCCGCCCAUGUCCAUGGUGCACUCCUGUCCCUCAGCCCAUGUCCACGAUGCACACCUGUCCCUCAGCCCACGUCCAUGGUGCACACCUGUCCCUCAGCCCACGUCCAUGGCCUGCACCUGUCCCUCAGCCCACAUCCAUGGCCUGCACCUGUCCUCCGCCCAUGUCCAUGGUGCACUCCUGUCCCUCAGCCCAUGUCCACGAUGCACACCUGUCCCUCAGCCCACGUCCAUGGUGCACACCUGUCCCUCAGCCCACGUCCAUGGCCUGCACCUGUCCUCAACCCAUGUCCAUGGUGCACUCCUAUCCCUCAGCCCAUGUCCAUGGCGCACACCUGUCCCUCAGCCCACGUCCAUGGUGCACACCUGUCCCUCAGCCCACAUCCACGGCCCGCACCUGUCCCUCAGCCCACGUCCAUGGUGCACACCUGUCCCUCAGCCCACAUCCAUGGCCCGCACCUGUCCCUCAGCCCACAUCCACAGCGCACACCUGUCCCUCAGCCCACGUCAGGAGAUCCUCCCUGCAGGGCGCAGGGACGCGGGAACCCGAGUUCGAGUUCGCGGCCCAGCACAGCCCGCAGGGGACAGAGGAGCCUGGAUCUUCCCCGGCCCGCGCUCCCCGUCUGUCCUUCCCAUCAUCGCGGUCCACGCAAAGAUGAAGGAUGCAGCGCUGCGUGGUAGCUGCUGA